AUUGAACGCUGGCGGCAUGCUUUAUACAUGCAAGUCGAACGGUAACAGGUUAAGCUGACGAGUGGCGAACGGGUGAGUAAUUCAUCGGAACGUGCCCGGCCGUGGGGGAUAACGCAGCGAGAGCUGCGCUAAUACCGCAUACGAUCUGCGGAUGAAAGCGGGGGACCGUAAGGCCUCGCGCGAUCGGAGCGGCCGAUGUCAGAUUAGGUAGUUGGUGGGGUAAAGGCUCACCAAGCCGACGAUCUGUAGCUGGUCUGAGAGGACGACCAGCCACACCGGGACUGAGACACGGCCCAGACUCCUGCGGGAGGCAGCAGUGGGGAAUUUUGGACAAUGGGCGCAAGCCUGAUCCAGCAAUGCCGCGUGCAGGAAGAAGGCCUUCGGGUUGUAAACUGCUUUUGUACGGAGCGAAAAGGCUCUCGCUAAUACGGGGGGCUCAUGACGGUACCGUAAGAAUAAGCACCGGCUAACUAAGUGCCAGCCGCCGCAGUAA
rnacentral:rRNA from 1 species